GUUAUCCCUACAAGACGGGGGCAAGGUCUGUUGGAUUCUGGGCAAAGCCCACCCUCAGUCAGACAGUAGGGUCUAUAGCCGGGGCAUCAGAGAAAGAAAGGAAGACACAACUGGACUUGGAGGUGUGAAUGGUUCAAUAAUAACAGUAAAUAAAUGGAGAGGCACUGGAGAUACUUUAGUGAAUAAGACGUUGGAGGUCACUGACUUCACAGGACUUGGACCUGAAGAUGUUCUUUUAACAUCUGCAUCAGACAAGGAAAUCCGGACACGUAAACAUUUUAGCAAGCUACAUAAAAGGUUCCUCUGAAUUUACCCAGUGACUCACUUAACGUAACGACUCCACAGCCAGUAACAGACCACCAGCUGCUCUCUGACCUCUGAAGUAUGGAUCACUGUGCUGCGUACUCAGCUGUUCAUUCAGCAACUGUGGAUUCUUUUACAUGCAACAUGGUACUAGGCCCUUGCUUCUGGCAUCUACAAUCACAUUUGAAAACUUAUAUCAGCCACAGGUCAUUUGCAUCUCUCUUUGAAGACAGUAUGAGUGGAUACCAUUUGAUUAAAGGAGAUACAGGAGCUCGCACGAAGGAGACAUCACUUCUGGCUAGAGUUAACUAGGGAAGCGGAGGCUGCAGCUCUGAUGAGAACCUGCUUCAUCCGGGACAUUUUACGUAGAUUCUUGGAUUGGAUGUGGAUGCUGCACAAAGACCUUGGAGGUGGAGACCUUGAGUAAUGGAAAGAAUUAGGAAACGCAGAAAUGAAGUUUCAACUGAGAAUUUAUCCACGGCCCAAUGCUGGUCAGGCACCCAGAUGUUUUUAAGGAGAAAAACAAGUUUACUGAUAUAGCUGAAGCCAAUUGUGAACCCCUUGGAUCCCAUUCAUCUCCACAACCCCCGUGAG
ensembl:lncRNA